rnacentral:lncRNA from 1 species
UUAGGGUUGAUAGUUUAAUCCUAGAUCGUCUUAGAGCAUUCAAUAUCAAAGGGAUGAAUUAUGCAGUAACUAUAUGAAUAGGUCUUGAAUAUUAUCUUACAAAUAUUUAAUCUAUCCAGAUAUUAAAAAUCAUUGCUAGAUGGUAACUUCAAAUAGUACAGAAAAUGGUUUCCUUGCUACCGACUUAGUGUUCGAACAUAUAG